GGUAACCUGCCCCUGACUCUGGAAUAAGCGCUGGAAACGGCGUCUAAUACCGGAUAUGACACCAAUCCGCAUGGGUAUGGUGUGGAAAGUUUUUCGGUUGGGGAUGGACUCGCGGCCUAUCAGCUUGUUGGUGAGGUAAUGGCUCACCAAGGCGAUGACGGGUAGCCGGCCUGAGAGGGCGAUCGGCCACACUGGGACUGAGACACGGCCCAGACUCCUACGGGAGGCAGCAGUGGGGAAUAUUGCACAAUGGGCGCAAGCCUGAUGCAGCGACGCCGCGUGAGGGAUGACGGCCUUCGGGUUGUAAACCUCUUUCAGCAGGGAAGAAGCGAAAGUGACGGUACCUGCAGAAGAAGCACCGGCUAACUACGUGCCAGCAGCCGCGGUAAUACGUAGGGUGCGAGCGUUGUCCGGAAUUAUUGGGCGUAAAGAGCUUGUAGGCGGUUUGUCGCGUCUGCUGUGAAAAUCCGGGGCUCAACCCCGGACUUGCAGUGGGUACGGGCAGACUAGAGUGUGGUAGGGGAGACUGGAAUUCCUGGUGUAGCGGUGAAAUGCGCAGAUAUCAGGAGGAACACCGAUGGCGAAGGCAGGUCUCUGGGCCACUACUGACGCUGAGAAGCGAAAGCAUGGGGAGCGAACAGGAUUAGAUACCCUGGUAGUCCAUGCCGUAAACGUUGGGAACUAGGUGUGGGUCUCAUUCCACGAGGUCCGUGCCGCAGCUAACGCAUUAAGUUCCCCGCCUGGGGAGUACGGCCGCAAGGCUAAAACUCAAAGGAAUUGACGGGGGCCCGCACAAGCGGCGGAGCAUGUGGAUUAAUUCGAUGCAACGCGAAGAACCUUACCAAGGCUUGACAUAUGCCGGAAACAUUCAGAGAUGGGUGCCCCGCAAGGUCGGUAUACAGGUGGUGCAUGGUUGUCGUCAGCUCGUGUCGUGAGAUGUUGGGUUAAGUCCCGCAACGAGCGCAACCCUCGUUCUAUGUUGCCAGCACGUGAUGGUGGGGACUCAUAGGAGACUGCCGGGGUCAACUCGGAGGAAGGUGGGGAUGAGGUCAAAUCAUCAUGCCCCUUAUGUCUUGGGCUUCACACAUGCUACAAUGGCCGGUACAAAGGGCUGCGAUACCGUGAGGUGGAGCGAAUCCCAAAAAACCGGUCUCAGUUCGGAUUGGGGUCUGCAACUCGACCCCAUGAAGUUGGAGUCGCUAGUAAUCGCAGAUC
rnacentral:rRNA from 1 species